AGAACGAACGCUGGCGGCAUGCCUAAUACAUGCAAGUCGAACGAACUCUUCGGAGUUAGUGGCGCACGGGUGCGUAACGCGUGGGAAUCUGCCCCUUGGUUCGGAAUAACAGUUGGAAACGACUGCUAAUACCGGAUGAUGACGAAAGUCCAAAGAUUUAUCGCCAAGGGAUGAGCCCGCGUAGGAUUAGCUAGUUGGUGAGGUAAAGGCUCACCAAGGCAACGAUCCUUAGCUGGUCUGAGAGGAUGAUCAGCCACACUGGGACUGAGACACGGCCCAGACUCCUACGGGAGGCAGCAGUAGGGAAUAUUGGACAAUGGGCGAAAGCCUGAUCCAGCAAUGCCGCGUGAGUGAUGAAGGCCUUAGGUUGUAAAGCUCUUUUACCCGAGAUGAUAAUGAACAGUAUCGGAGAAUAAGCCCCGGCUAAACUCCGUGCCAGCAGCCGC
rnacentral:rRNA from 1 species